UUGGAGGGCAAGUCUGGUGCCAGCAGCCGCGGUAAUUCCAGCUCCAAUAGCGUAUAUUAAAGUUGUUGCAGUUAAAAAGCUCGUAGUUGAAUUUCGGGAUUAGUACGCUGGUCGUGCCUUCGGUACGUACUGGUGUUACUGAUUCCUACCUUCUGACGAACCAUCAUGUCAUUUAUUUGGUGUGGUGGGGAAUCAGGACUGUUACUUUGAAAAAAUUAGAGUGUUUAAAGCAGGCUCGCGCUUGAAUACAUUGGCAUGGAAUAAUGAAAUAGGACGUUGAUCCUAUUUUGUUGGUUUCUAGGAUCGACGUAAUGAUUAAUAGGGAUAGUUGGGGGCAUUAGUAUUCAAUUGUCAGAGGUGAAAUUCUUGGAUCUAUUGAAGACUAACUACUGCGAAAGCAUUUGCCAAGGAUGUUUUCAUUAAUCAAGAACGAGAGUUAGGGGAUCGAAGACGAUCAGAUACCGUCGUAGUCUUAACCAUAAACUAUGCCGACUAGGGAUCGGAUGAUGUUAUUUUUAAUGACUCAUUCGGCGCCUUACGGAAAC
rnacentral:rRNA from 1 species